rnacentral:rRNA from 1 species
UACGAAGGGGGCUAGCGUUGUUCGGAAUUACUGGGCGUAAAGCGCACGUAGGCGGUGUUCCAUGUCAGCGGUGAAAGCCUGGGGCUCAACUCCAGAAUUGCCUUUGAAACGGGAACGCUUGAGUCCGAGAGAGGAUGGCGGAAUUCCUAGUGUAGAGGUGAAAUUCGUAGAUAUUAGGAAGAACACCAGUGGCGAAGGCGGCCAUCUGGCUCGGUACUGACGCUCAGGUUCGAAAGCGUGGGGAGCAAACAGG